rnacentral:rRNA from 1 species
AAAAGGGUGGUAAUGCCGGAUGCUCCAGUUGACCGCAUGGUCCUCUGGGAAAGCUUUUGCGGUAUGGGAUGGGGUCGCGUCCUAUCAGCUUGAUGGCGGGGUAACGGCCCACCAUGGCUUCGACGGGUAGCCGGCCUGAGAGGGCGACCGGCCACAUUGGGACUGAGAUACGGCCCAGACUCCUACGGGAGGCAGCAGUGGGGAAUAUUGCACAAUGGGCGCAAGCCUGAUGCAGCGACGCCGCGUGCGGGAUGACGGCCUUCGGGUUGUAAACCGCUUUUGACUGGGAGCAAGCCCUUCGGGGUGAGUGUACCUUUCGAAUAAGCACCGGCUAACUACGUGCCAGCAGCCGCGGUAAUACGUAGGGUGCAAGCGUUAUCCGGAAUUAUUGGGCGUAAAGGGCUCGUAGGCGGUUCGUCGCGUCCGGUGUGAAAGUCCAUCGCUUAACGGUGGAUCCGCGCCGGGUACGGGCGGGCUUGAGUGCGGUAGGGGAGACUGGAAUUCCCGGUGUAACGGUGGAAUGUGUAGAUAUCGGGAA